CUUUUAAGUGUUACUUACAAGGUUUUAAAAUUUGACUAUGGUUUAGAGUAUGAUUAAAAUGGUGUUAUUUGGGUUGAAUUCAUAGAGUAGGCAAUAUAGUUUUACCUUGGCAAUUUGUCAUUUGUACUAAUUUUGUUCCAGAAUAAUCGGCUAGACUUUAUAAAUUUGUACUCUAAUUGAUGUCGGCCUGAAUUUGUUUUUUAAACUUAAUUUUUUAGGGUGAAAUUAAGGAAACUUAGCUGUUUUAGUUUAGGCCUUAAAAUUUGAUGAAUGAGCCAGAUUAGUACCUGGUUAAACAAAAAUUAAAAGGGCAGGAGUAAAGUUGUAUUUAAACUGAAAGAGUAUUGACAGGUCUUUAAAUUAUCUUUGGAGGUUGAGUAAUAAUUGAGAGCCCUCAUUAACGACUUUUAUUAUGGGCGCAUGUAUGAUCGUUUGUUUUAUUCUUAGGGAUUGUAAUUUUAGUUGUUUACUAUAAAAAUAGAUAUAUACCUGGCUUAUGUAAAAGUUAAAUUUGACCUACAUUACCUAAUUUUUGUGGAGACCUUUGUAGUAUUAGGUGGAAAAUGUAAAAGACAGUAAGUUUCUUUUAAUGGGAAACUGAAGUUUAUUUGGAGACGGCACAAAUCAUCCAUCAAUUGCCUACAGGGGAGUAAGUUGUAGUAAAGUAGAGGUAGGGGAACCUGUCUCUAGUAGUGGUGUG
rnacentral:ncRNA from 1 species